rnacentral:rRNA from 1 species
CGCCUUCUGCCUAAUUAUAGAAGGUCCAGCCUGCCCAGUGAAUUAAUUCAACGGCCGCGGUAUCCUAACCGUGCGAAGGUAGCGUAAUCACUUGUUCUUUAAAUGAGGACUAGUAUGAAUGGCACCACGAAGGUUAUACUGUCUCCCACUUCUAAUCAGUUAAACUAAUCUCCACGUGAAGAAGCGUGAAUAAUUAUAUAAGACGAGAAGACCCUAUGGAGCUUUAAAUAACGCAACAUGUGUUUAUAUUAUUUAACUUCAUGAAAAAACCUACAUCUAAACAUUUUGAUUGUUAAUUUUUGGUUGGGGUGACCGCGGAGUAUAAAAUAACCUCCAUAAUGAAAGAAAUUAUUUUCUAAACCUAGAGCAACAACUCAAAGUAUUAUUAAAUUAACAUCCUUUGAUCCAAUAUAUUGAUCAACGAACAAAGUUACCCUAGGGAUAACAGCGCAAUCUACUUCAAGAGCUCCUAUCGACAAGUAGGUUUACGACCUCGAUGUUGGAUCAGGGUAUCCUAGUGGUGCAGCCGCUACUGAAGGUUCGUUUGUUCAACGAUUAAAACCC